rnacentral:rRNA from 1 species
AGCAGCCGCGGGUAAUACGUAUGUCUCGAGCGUUACCCGGAAUCACUGGGUGUAAAGGGUUUGUAGGCGGUUUGUUAAGUUGGAUAUGAAAGACCGGAGCUCAACUCCGAGUUUGUGUUCAAAACUGGCAGACUAGAAUCAAGGAGAGGUAAGCGGAAUUCUAAGUGUAGGGGUGCAAUCCGUAGAUACUUAGAGGAACACCAAAAGCGAAGGCAGCUUACUGGAAUUGUAUUGACGCUGAGGAACGAAAGCGUGGGGAGCGAAAAGGAUUAGAUACCCUUGUAGUCCACGCCCUAAACGAUGAUAACUAAGUGUUGUGUUUUCGGAUGCAGUGCUGUAGCUAACGCGUUAAGUUAUCCACCUGAGGAGUACGGUCGCAAGAUUAAAACUCAAAGGAAUAGACGGGGACCCACACAAGCAGUGGAUCACGUGGUUUAAUUCGACAAUAAACGGGGAACCUUACCCAGACUUGACAUCUACCGAAUUCUUUAGAGAUAGAGAAGUGCUUUUAUUAGAGCGGUAAGACAGGUGCUGCAUGGUUGUCGUCAGCUCGUGCCUUGAGGUGUUCGGUUAAGUCCGUUAACGAGCGCAACCCAUAUCGUUAGUUAUUAUGUCUAACGAGACUGCCUUGGUUAACAAGGAGGAAGGUGUGGAUGACGUCAAAUCAGCAUGGCUUUUACGUCUGGGGCUACACACAUGAUACAAUGGUGUAUACAAAGAGUAGCGAUACGGUAACGUGGAGCUAAUCUUCAAAAUACAUCUCAGUCCGGAUUGAGGUCUGCAACUCGACCUCAUGAAGUUGGAAUUGCUAGUAAUCGUGAAUCAGAUAUGUCACGGUGAAUAUGUUCCUGGGUCUUGUACUCACCGCCCGUCACGGCAUGGGAGGUAGUAAUAUCGGAAGUCCCCCCUGGUAAUAUGGGGC